rnacentral:sRNA from 1 species
ACGGCCUACUGGAUCAGAAUUACAAAUUACACGGUAAAUGCCCUCCGAUCGCUACCUUUCAGGGCCAGUUUUGCCAAAUGAGGUCCAGUGAAUUAUCAUCCUUGACAAUUACCCAGUGGCCACCAGUGGCACAGUUGAUUCAUCAUCCAAUAUCAGCCGACAUGGACUGAUAGCGCCGUAGUGGCGCCUGGGCUGAGCGCAUGAAAAGCGCCUGGUGAUGCUGAGUGUAACAUGGAGCAGGUGUUCCUUUGGCGGGGAAGCUUCACUGUUAACCAACAAGAGCCUUCUUUCGAAAACCCCCAGUCAACUGUGCCAACGGGUUUGUCUCAAGUGGAAAGGCACCAGUUUGCCUUGCAUGAAUUGGUGACAUGCUAAAACCAG